rnacentral:rRNA from 1 species
AGGGUUUGAUCAUGGCUCAGGACGAACGCUGGCGGCGUGCUUAACACAUGCAAGUCAAGGGGGCGGAGCAAUCCGCAACCGGCGAACGGGUGCGUAACACGUGAGCGACCUACCUCCUUGCGGGGGAUAGCCGGCCCAACGGCCGGGUAAUACCGCAUACGCUCUUUGGGGGGCAUUCCCUGGAGAGGAAACUUCCGAGGCGGGGAGAGGGGCUCGCGGCCUAUCAGCUAGUUGGCGGGGUAAUGGCCCACCAAGGCGGCGACGGGUAGCUGGUCUGAGAGGAUGGCCAGCCACAUUGGGACUGAGAGACGGCCCAGACUCCUACGGGAGGCAGCAGUGGGGAAUCUUGCGCAAUGGCCGAAAGGCUGACGCAGCGACGCCGCGUGGGGGAGGAAGGGCUUCGGCUCGUAAACCCCUGUUGCCCGGGGCGAACAUCCCUUUUCGAGGGGACUGACGGUACCGGGUGAGGAAGCACCGGCUAACUCCGUGCCAGCAGCCGCGGUAAUACGGAGGGUGCGAGCGUUGUCCGGAAUCACUGGGCGUAAAGGGCGCGUAGGUGGCUUUUCAAGCGCGCGGUGAAAGCCCGGGGCUCAACCCCGGGUCGGCCGUGCGGACUGGGAGGCUUGAGCACUGUAGGGGCGGGUGGAAUUCCGGGUGUAGCGGUGGAAUGCGUAGAGAUCCGGAAGAACACCGGUGGCGAAGGCGGCCCGCUGGGCAAGAAGGCUCGCAAGAGCCGGCUGACACUGAGGCGCGACAGCGUGGGGAGCAAACAGGAUUAGAUACCCUGGUAGUCCACGCCGUAAACGAUGGGCACUAGUGCUUGGGGGAGCGACCCUCCGGGUGCCGGCGCUAACGCAUUAAGUGCCCCGCCUGGGGAGUACGGCCGCAAGG